rnacentral:lncRNA from 10 species
AAACAGCCUCCCACUCUGUCGCCCAAGCUGGAGUGCAGUGGUGCGAUCUCAGCUCACUGCAACCUCCGUCUCUCGGGCUCAAGCAAUCCUCCCACCUCAGCCCCCUGAGUAGCUGAGACUAUGGGUGUGCACCACCACACCUGGCUAAUUUUUGUAUUUUUUGUGGAGACAGGGUCUUGCCAUGUUGCCCAGGCUGGUCUGUAACUCCUGAGCUCAAGGGAUCCACCCACCUCAGCCUUCCAAAAUGCUGGGAUUACAGGCAUGAGCCACUGCGCUACCGAGAAAUCGUCAUUCUUUACCACCACUGCUGCAGCUAGCAGCUCACUCUUCAGUGCUUUAAGCAAAUGAUCCUCAGGAAAGAAAAGGUAUUUGCUUAUUGCAGGUGCAAAGAGGCUCAGAUUGGAACUUUUCCCUGAAACUAUAUUGUAGCCCAGAGUUCCUGAUGUAAGACGCUUUAUUUAAAGACAUCCGUGAGCUUUUUCACUGGCAUAUCAAUACUUCAUAACACUAGGAAGGUAUCCAGCCUUUUCCUUAUGCUAGUUCCUUCCCUUAUUUGCCAGAUGGGGACCCUGUGGGGAGGUGACCCAGUGUGAGGCCGAAGCUCUUUCCCAGAGCCCCACAGGCCAGUGGAGGGUCGUGUUUGUGCUCUGGGCAUCACCGUCUUGGGUCUCGGUCCCCUGCGACUGCAGCUGCUACAUCCCUCCCUGCUCUGAGAUAAAUGUUCUUCCCAUGAAGCAGACGGUUCACUUUUGGGAUGGCGCUGUCUCCAGGUUUGGCUGUCUCAGUCCAGAUGAUGUUUGGGUGUGUUUAUGGAAGACAAACUGAGAUGUGCUGUCCCAGCCUUAGGCCCUGGCAGUACGCCUUGCCUUUUCACGGCACACCCACUACAGCCUUUCCCACACUGUGACACUGGAGCUGGUGAGUCAAAGUAAGUAUAAGUGGGGAGCACUUUUCAGUACAGUAGUUUUAAGGAAAGACUUGGGUCUCUGAAAGCCAUGUUUGCAUCCCUGCCAUGUCCCUCACUGGCUGCUAGCCUCAGGCCACUGACUCUUAGCCUCUGUAUCUCGGAGCCUCAGUUUGCUUAACUGUUAAAUGGGGAUACUGAUACCUGCCUCAUAGAGUUAUGAGGAUUAAGUGUCUCCUACCUUUGAAUGUCUUGCUCCGGUGUUUCCCUGGAGAUAUCUUGUCCAAGUAUGAACAGCAGUGCUGGCCACAAACUCAUCAGCA